rnacentral:rRNA from 1 species
UACAGAGGUCUCGAGCGUUGUUCGGAUUCAUUGGGCGUAAAGGGCGCGUAGCGGCGGGGUAAGUCUGGUGUGAAAUCUCGGAGCUCAACUCCGAAAUUGCACUGGAUACUGCUCUGCUAGAGGGCUGGAGAGGAGAUCGGAAUUCACGGUGUAGCAGUGAAAUGCGUAGAUAUCGUGAGGAAGACCAGUGGCGAAGGCGGAUCUCUGGACAGCUCCUGACGCUGAGGCGCGAAGGCUAGGGGAGCAAACGGG